rnacentral:rRNA from 2 species
UACGUAGGGGGCAAGCGUUAUCCGGAUUUACUGGGUGUAAAGGGAGCGUAGACGGCGACGCAAGUCUGAAGUGAAAUACCCGGGCUCAACCUGGGAACUGCUUUGGAAACUGUGUUGCUAGAGUGCUGGAGAGGUAAGCGGAAUUCCUAGUGUAGCGGUGAAAUGCGUAGAUAUUAGGAAGAACACCAGUGGCGAAGGCGGCUUACUGGACAGUAACUGACGUUGAGGCUCGAAAGCGUGGGGAGCAAACAGG